AGGUGGUUUGCUCCACGGGGACGCGCACGCAGGGCCGGGCAGGGGCGUGCACGCCGCCCUCUGACCCCGCCCCGUUGCCGCGGAGCGCCGGCCCUGGAAACUUGGGCCCGAGCGACCUUCGCCUGCGAGGCGAUUUCCCCACGCCGGGUGUGGCUCUGCCCCCACGGUACCAAGUCCUGUUCGAUCUUACAAUCUUGCAGUCUCGGGAGAAGUCUAGAGCGCUCAUUUCAGAGGAAAUAGGCCCAAGAAGAGCGACUGGCUUUCUGGAACUCUGAGUACAUCUGUACCACCACACUGUCUCUGCCCGCAGACUCCUCAAGGCAGCAGCUCCUCAGACCAUCACGUGGCGACCACCUCUGAUGCCUGGCAACCACCUCCCCUUUACCUCCCCCUUAAAAACCUUCACCCCUCCCCAUGCUGACUCCCUUCUUGGACUCAGCUUGCUCACUCCUGAGUGAAUAAACAGCAUAAUUGCUCACAUAAAGCCUGC
rnacentral:lncRNA from 1 species